AAAAAAAGGCACAGCACACCAGCAUCAAAACCUCAUCCUAACUGUGAAGUAUGGUGGUGGGGGCAUCAUGGUUUGGGGCUGCUUUGCUGCGUCAGGGCCUGGGCGGAUUGCUAUCAUCGAAGGAAAAAUGAAUUCCCAAGUUUAUCAAGACAUUUUGCAGGAGAACUUAAGGCCAUCUGUCUACCAGCUGAAACUCAACAGAAGAUGGGUGUUGCAACAGGACAAUGACCCAAAGCAUAGAAGUAAAUCAACAACAGAAUGGCUUAAACAGAAGAAAAUACACCUUCUGAAGUGGCCCAGUCAGAGUCCUGACCUCAACCCGAUUGAGAUGCUGUGGCAUGACCUCAAAAAAGCGAUUCACACCAGACAGCCCAAGAAUAUUGCUGAACUGAAACAGUUCUGUAAAGAGGAAUGGUCAAGAAUUACUCCUGACCGUUGUGCACGUCUGAUCUGCAACUACAGGAAACGUUUGGUUGAAG